UCCGUAGGUGAACCUGCGGAGGG
rnacentral:rRNA from 1 species